AGUCACUGACAUUAGAUACCCGGGUAGUCCAGGGUGUAAACGCUGCAGACUUGGGUGUUUGGGAGGCCCUUUGGGGGCAUUCAGUGCCGGAGAGAAGUUGUUAAGUCUGCUACUUGGGGAGUACGUCCGCAAGGAUGGAAACUUAAAGGAAUUGGCGGGGGAGCACCGCAACGGGAGGAGCGUGCGGUUUAAUUGGAUUCAACACCGUAAAACUCACCAGGGAAGACUGUUGCAUGAAGGCCGAGCUAAAGACUCUGCUAGAUUUUCAG
rnacentral:rRNA from 1 species